rnacentral:rRNA from 1 species
CGUUACGAACGUGACUCAAUACAUUAAAUAGAUUCCUAUCAGAUAAGUAAACUGUUGACGCUUGCUUAUGGCUUGCUUUCGGGUAGGUCAUUGGGUAAGUGGAAGUUUACCUGAUAGUUUGUCAACUGUCAAAGGUUGGCUUUGAUCUGCUUAAUGAGACAAAUUGUGUUUAGCAAAAUGAGAUUGAGCAAUAACAGGUCCGUGAUGCCCUUAGAUGUCCUGGGUUGCACGCGCGCUACAAUGAGACCAUCAACGUGAUACCUGAUCUGAAAGGAUUGGGAAAUCACUUAAAUGUGCUCUUAGUUGGGAUUGUGGAUUGUAAUUAUUCACAUGAACCUGGAAUUCCCAGUAAAUGCUAGUCAUCAGCUAGCGUUGACUAAGUCCCUGCCCUUUGUACACACCGCCCGUCGCUAUUACCGAUUGGUUAUUUAGUGAGGUCUCCGGAGGUAAUCGCCGAAGAUGCUUAGGUAUCAUUAGGUUGUUUUGCCAAAGUUGACCGAACUUGAUGAUUGAGAGGAAAUAAAAGUCGUAACAAGGUUUCCGUAGGUGAACCUGCGGAAGGAUCAUUA